rnacentral:lncRNA from 1 species
CCCCGGCCUCCCAAAGUGCUAGGAUUAGAGGCGUGAGUCACUGCGCCUGGCCCUUGAUGAGCUUUUAUUUAUGAAGUGCCUGACAUGGUGCCAAGGAUAAAGAACUGUGAAGAUUCUGCCUCUUACCGUUAGCAAAACUCGACUUCUAUCAACAAGGAUUUGAUGAGCACCUAAUAGCCGCCAGGCACUGUGUAAGGCAUGAGGAUCCCGUAUGAACAUGACAAAGUCCCUGGCCUGCCAGAACUAAUGGUCUAGGGGAAGGUGCAGAGAAAAAAAGUGGGCAAUUAUGAUAUAUAGUCCUGUGGGUGCUGCUCAGGUCAGGUGAUAUGGAAACAUGGAGAAAGGGCUCCUAACCCGGAUUGACGGAUCACAGAAGGCUGCCUGGAGGAGAUGGCAGGAGUGGAAGCCAUAAAGGAUAGGCAAGAGAUGGCCAGGAGACUGGAGGCAAGAGGUGGGCCUGCAGGGCACUGAACUGGAACUGCGUGGCGCGGAGGUGGGCAUCAGAAAGCCCGGGAAGGGGGAAUCUGGCUGGCAUCAUCACACAAAGGACGACCGAGUCACCGAGUGAGGAGAGCUGUGGGUCAUAACAGGAGAAGCAGCCGGCGGCAGAACACAGAGGGCCCUGAACAUUCAGGAGUCAGGCAAGGAGCACAAGGUCCUCGCUUCCCGGAGUUUCUGGACGUGAACAGAAAGCAACACUUUGAUGAUCAUGUGGGCAGGAGAGGGAUGAACUUUGGUGGGGUGAGGGGCAGGGAAACCGGACUUUUAGGCUCUCUGAGCAUCCCACCAAGUGGCUGUCGGUUCAGAAGACCUGUCCCCAGGGCGACUAAUGUCUGCACAAGAAUUGACUCAGGUGUUGCUGCUCUCAGUACGGUAGAAAAGGUUUCUAACAGUGGUGCGUUGGAGCUGCCCCAACCAGCACGUGAGAGCUGAUGGUUACAUGAUGAGGGCCAGGGGCUACGAAAUAAUACUCUGCUUUCCUCUCCUGCCUUCAGACCCAGCAGAGAAACAGGAAAUGAGAGGCAGACGAAAGGAGAUCAAGCUGUCAGCUUGAUUCCUGACACAGGCAUCAUCUUCAUCCCUAUACUGAACUUCCCAGCACUCACGCUCUGCAGACCUCCUUCUUCAGGGGACACUUCUCAAAAGAAGACAUUUAUGCGGCCAAAAAACAUCAUCACUGGUCAUUAGAG